rnacentral:rRNA from 1 species
CCUGCCAGUAGCAUAUGCUCAUCUCGAAGAUUAAGCCAUGCAUGUCUAAGAGCAAUCUGUUCUCGCAAGAGAAAACCGUGGAUCUGCGAAUAGCUCCUUACAAGAGUCAUAAACAAGCUAACAAUGCUUCUACAAGGAUAGCGUUGUCAAAUGCAACGAUAAUACUUGCAAUAAGCGAUGGCGCAAAUCUCAGGAUUUGAUCGCCAUAAGUGUAGCCCUUUGGGUUACGCAGACUAACGUUACGUUAGCUUGAUAGAAGUGUUUCUUCCCUAUUAGCUGUGAUGGUAGGGUAAAGGCCUACCAUGGCUAUUAUGGGUCCGGGGAAUCAGUGUUCGAUUCCGGAGAGGCAGCCUUAGAAACAGCUACCAUGUCCAAGGAUAGCAGCAGGCGCGAAAAUUACUCAAUUCUAAUCAGAGAGAAGUAGUGAAAAGACAUAACGAUUUCCUACAUCUGUGGGAAAGUACUCUUUUGAGUUUGAAAUGGUCGCACUGUAAAUAGGUGCGAGAGUAUCAAGUGGAGGACAAGUCAGGUGCCAGCACCCGCGGUAAUUCCUGCUCCACAAGCAUAUACUAAUGUUGCUGUAGUUAAAACGUUCGUAGUCCAUGUAAGUGCCAAUCUGUGCGAAUCGGGUAGUCCAACUUUAGUCUUAAGGGGAAACUUUUAGGACUAGAGGACUGGAGGAAACUCCAGUCAGGGCUGCUCCUUGCCGGUUAAAUGCGUCUUCGGACGCAUCGGGGUUUGUACAGAGAGGUGCGAUCCACAACUGUGAGUAAAUCAGCGUGUUCAAAGCAGGCUUUGGGAGGAUUUAUCCUCCCUUGUGCUUGUAUGCUAAAGCAUGGAAUUGUAACAUACUGACGUCAAGUCACAAUCGUGGAAAAGGAAACAGACGGAGGGCACAAGUAUUCCGGUGACCAGGGGUGAAAUCCGUACUCCCGGAAGACUACCAGAUGCGAAAGCGGUUUUGCCCACGGCGUUUCCGUUGAUCAAGAACGAGAGUCAAGGGAUCGAAGAUGAUUAGAUACCGUCGUAGUCUUGACCGUAAACUAUACUGCCAAGAGUUUGGGGAUAUGACACCAUUAUUGAUCUCCUCAGAAUCUAAGGGAAACCGAAAGUUUUCGAGUUCUGGGGGAAGUAUGGUCGCAAGGCUGAAACUUAAAGGAAUUGACGGAAAGGCA